rnacentral:rRNA from 1 species
AGAAUCAACGCUGGCGGCGUGCCUAACACAUGCAAGUCGAACGCGAGAGGGGCUUCGGCCCUGAUUGAGUGGCGAACGGGUGAGUAACACGUGGGUGAUCUACCUUUGAGUGGGGGAUAACGUUCCGAAAGGAACGCUAAUACCGCAUGACGUUCCGGGUUUGAAGACCUGGAAACCAAAGCCGGGGACCGCAAGGCCUGGCGCUUGGAGAGGAGCCCGCGCCUGAUUAGCUAGUUGGUGAGGUAACGGCUCACCAAGGCUACGAUCAGUAGCCGGCCUGAGAGGGCGGACGGACACGACUGGGACUGAGACACGGCCCAGACUCCUACGGGAGGCAGCAGUGGGGAAUAUUGGACAAUGGGCGGAAGCCUGAUCCAGCAACGCCGCGUGAGGGAUGACGGCCUUCGGGUUGUAAACCUCUUUUGGCGGGACGAUAAUGACGGUACCGCAGAAUAAGCCCGCUAACUUCGUGCCAGCAGCCGC